rnacentral:lncRNA from 1 species
AUGAGGUGUAAUGGCGCCGGGAUGCGCUCUCCUCUUCUCAUUUGCCAAUUUAUUGCAGAUCCCUCCUCAAAAAAGUUUUGGGACUAACUCAGCCCCAUGGAGAUCAAGGUGAAUUAGAAAAACAACAAAACAAAACAAGAUUCAUUUUAACAUCUCAUUUUUCUAUCUCCAACUUUCCCUCCCCUCCUCCCACCCCAGGAAGAAAAGACUACGUUUGUUUCUGGUGAUACAUUCAUUGUAGGUGGGUGGGUGACUUCUAGAAGAGGAAAAUCAAGAAGAUUUGGAGAAGGAGUCUUGGAAGCUCUGGUGAAGUUUUCCAAAACUGGGAAGGACAGAGCCACAGGUCUGCCUGUUCUUUUGCUUUGCCAUUUGUGUGGAUACCUAGUAGAGCAAUUUGGGUGCCAUUCUUUGAGGAAUCCAUUGGAUCUGUCAGAAAGCUGAGUCUGCUCAGCCUGUGUUAGUGGAGAAGAGGGAAGGAAACUGGCUGGAGGCCGCUGGACCCACAGAGGACAAUAGACAAUCUCCUGCUGAUGCCCACUGGAUCCAAAGAGAGAAACUCUAUAGAAUUAUGAUCUAGGUUUGACUGACUCCUGGCAAGAAGCCCUACCCGCCAGCCAAUUUGGAUGAGGAACACAGAAUCACUUGUGGAAUUAAGAGAUAAGGACAGCAAGUAGACCAAACUAUAAGCUGAGGUUCAAGGUGGCAUAGGCUGGGUGCCACAGUGCUGUGUCUCAGGUGGGCUAGAAGUGCGAAACGGACAGUACCAGAAGGAAAACUUGAGGGUCACAGGGGUCAUCCAUCUUUCCUUCUAUGUGACUGGUUUGCUCUUGCAUAUCAUGUUUUCCGCUCUUAUGCUCCAGAUCCAUCAUGAGAAGAACAUGCCCUGGAUUCCUGCUAUCCCUUUAGCCAUGGCUCCAAAAUUAACACACACAAGGAAGACCUGAGGUCAAUCCACAGCCUGGAUUCAAGUCACCUAAUACAUAGGAGAAUCAGAGCUACCCAGCCACACUCAAUCUACGUUAACUGAACCUCAGCUGACCUGCAGAUUUAUGAGUAUGAGAAUAAAGGCUUGUUAAUGUAUAUCAU